UCCUAACCCAUGUGGACCUACCUUUGUUGCCUCGGCAGGUCUGCAUCUUACCCUGAGGGGACCUACCCUGUAGGGACCUUACCCGGUAGUUGCGGGCAUAACCUGCCGGUGGUCUACUAAACUCUGUUUACUAUGUUAUUCUGAAUAAUAUAACUAAAUAAGUUAAAACUUUCAACAACGGAUCUCUUGGUUCUGGCAUCGAUGAAGAACGCAGCGAAAUGCGAUAAGUAAUGUGAAUUGCAGAAUUCAGUGAAUCAUCGAAUCUUUGAACGCACAUUGCGCCCAUUAGUAUUCUAGUGGGCAUGCCUGUUCGAGCGUCAUUUCAACCCUUAAGCCCUGUUGCUUAGCGUUGGGAGCCUACAGAUACCCUUUGUAGUUCCUUAAAGUUAGUGGCGGAGUCGGUUUCACACUCUAGACGUAGUAAAUUUUAUCUCGCCUAUAGAUGAGCCGGUCCCUUGCCGUAAAACCCCCUAAUUUCUAAAAGGUUGACCUCGGAUCAGGUAGGAAUACCCGCUGAACUUAAGCAUAUCAUA
rnacentral:rRNA from 1 species